rnacentral:misc_RNA from 1 species
AAAAAAAGGGAAAGAAAGAAACAAGUUGCAAAGUUUUUUACACAGAUUGUGGGACCAGCAAAAGCUUAUGCAAUUGCAGUUCAUGGUAGUAAUACUACCUAGCUUGCAUGUCCUCUUCAGUUUUCCACACUACAUCCUCUAGACUAGUCGAAAGAUUCUUGUAGAACUUGUGGAAUUCCAAAGUAUCUCCUUUUGCCUUUCGGACUUCAACCAUAUGAAGAGAAGGGGCAACUUGAAAUACCUCAGUGGCAACAUUAAGGUUCCCUUUUCUUCCAGCUUUGACAUUUUCAAGUCUCAUCUUGUAGUUCUUUUUGUGA